UAAAGAAAAUAAAGAAAGAGAAUAAAUAAAUAUUUUUAAAAAUAUAUAAAAAAUAUCAACCUUUCCAGAAGAGGCUGUGCCCGCAAAAGGCUCAGGCCUGGAGGGACAUGGGGAUCUGAGUGAGUAGUUAGCAGGGAGCUCCAGGCUGGCACUUCCUUACUUCUCCAGCCCCCUAAACUCUCGAGCAUAGCCUGUCCUUCCUCCCUGAGGCCCUGACCGGACAUAUGAGGAAACCAGUACCUAAUAACAUAAUUCAGACAAGUAAGAAGUGGAUUUCUUUAGAGAGAUACACAUUCCAUAGACAAAAUGCGGUCCAUCUCAAAAGAACUGGAAUGGCAGCUGAGCCACCCCAGCAGCUGACCAAGGGCGUAUCGAUUUGUGCUGGGCUCCUUGCGAAUAUCUGAGCCAGUCACACAUGAAGAUAAAGGCUCCAAAGAACUCACCCGUGGUGAUCGGUCCUGCUUAAACCUCCCACGGCCAAGUCCACAAGUCUCCCCAUUGGUCCACCAACUCUUGCCCUUUCCAACCCAAGCCUGACCAUCACUUGCGGAGAGUAAUCAUGGUUCAGAACACAGGAUCUGCAGUCAGGCAGCCCGGCUUCCAGCCCAAGGAUUACUGAGUCAAAGGGUAUUUACAUAUUUACUGUUGAGAGAUGCUGCCAAACUGCCUUCCAAAAAGUUGGACCCAUUUAUACCCCCACCAGCAGUAUAAGACAGUGCCCGUUCCCAUACUUUCUCCAUCUUUACCAAUCUGUUUCAAAACAAAACACCCUCUACUACCAUGCUUGCCUUUCUUGCACUAGCAUCUUUUCAUCUUCUUUUGGCAAAUUGAAUUUCUGUAAAUUGCCUGGCCAUAUCCUUUGUCCAGUUUUAAAAACUUGAGUUGUCAUCUUUUUGUUAUUUAUUUGUAGUAGCUUAUUACACAUUUGGAUAUCAACCUCUGUUAUAAACGUUAAAGUAUUACUUCAACUUAAUCAGUGGUCACUGGACUUUGCUUAUGGUGUCUAUUUGCC